CCUACGGUUGGCAGCAGUGGGGAAUAUUGGACAAUGGGCGAAAGCCUGAUCCAGCCAUGCCGCGUGUGUGAAGAAGGCCUUCGGGUUGUAAAGCACUUUCAGUGGGGAAGAAAGCCUUGGGGCUAAUACCCUCGAGGAAGGACAUCACCCACAGAAGAAGCACCGGCUAACUCCGUGCCAGCAGCCGCGGUAAUACGGAGGGUGCGAGCGUUAAUCGGAAUUACUGGGCGUAAAGCGCGCGUAGGCGGUCUGAUAAGCCGGUUGUGAAAGCCCCGGGCUCAACCUGGGAACGGCAUCCGGAACUGUCAGGCUAGAGUGCAGGAGAGGAAGGUAGAAUUCCCGGUGUAGCGGUGAAAUGCGUAGAGAUCGGGAGGAAUACCAGUGGCGAAGGCGGCCUUCUGGACUGACACUGACGCUGAGGUGCGAAAGCGUGGGUAGCAAACAGGAUUAGAUACCCUGGUAGUC
rnacentral:rRNA from 1 species